rnacentral:rRNA from 1 species
GUGUCAGCCGCCGCGGUAAUACGGAGGGUGCGAGCGUUAAUCGGAAUUACUGGGCGUAAAGCGCGCGUAGGCGGUUUGGUCAGUCGGAUGUGAAAGCCCCGGGCUUAACCUGGGAAUUGCAUUCGAUACUGGUCAGCUAGAGUCUGGUAGAGGUAAGUGGAAUUCCGGGUGUAGCGGUGAAAUGCGUAGAUAUCCGGAGGAACACCAGUGGCGAAGGCGGCUUACUGGACCAAGACUGACGCUGAGGUACGAAAGCGUGGGGAGCAAACAGGAUUAGAUACCCUGGUAGUCCACGCCCUAAACGAUGUCAACUAGCCGUUGGGUCCACUUAAUAGGACUCGGUGGCGAAGCUAACGCGUUAAGUUGACCGCCUGGGGAGUACGGCCGCAAGGUUGAAACUCAAAUGAAUUGACGGGG